GAUGAACGCUGGCGGCGUGCCUAAUACAUGCAAGUCGAGCGAACGGACGAGAAGCUUGCUUCUCUGAUGUUAGCGGCGGACGGGUGAGUAACACGUGGAUAACCUACCUAUAAGACUGGGAUAACUUCGGGAAACCGGAGCUAAUACCGGAUAAUAUUUUGAACCGCAUGGUUCAAAAGUGAAAGACGGUCUUGCUGUCACUUAUAGAUGGAUCCGCGCUGCAUUAGCUAGUUGGUAAGGUAACGGCUUACCAAGGCAACGAUGCAUAGCCGACCUGAGAGGGUGAUCGGCCACACUGGAACGGAGACACGGUCCAGACUCCUACGGGAGGCAGCAGUAGGGAAUCUUCCGCAAUGGGCGAAAGCCUGACGGAGCAACGCCGCGUGAGUGAUGAAGGGCUUCGGAUCGUAAAACUCUGUUAUUAGGGAAGAACAUAUGUGUAAGUAACUGUGCACAUCUUGACGGUACCUAAUCAGAAAGCCACGGCUAACUACGUG
rnacentral:rRNA from 1 species